AGGACUAUACUUUCAGGGAAUCAUUUCUGUAGUUGGUAACUUAGAGGAGUGUGAUCGAAAGUGUCCGGCGUCACAAGCCACGAGGAGGAGCAGCGUGUUCUCUCCUGAGCCGCGAAGCGGGCGGGCGGUGCUGCUUGUGCGGGAGCCGCUCGUCAUUGAUGACCGUUCCCGUGCCACAGAUUGGCACUGGAGGGAGAGAACACAGGCUGAGUGGG
rnacentral:snoRNA from 1 species